rnacentral:rRNA from 1 species
CUAGGAUUAGAUACCCUAUUAUUUAAAAUGUAAUUUAAAAAACUAAAGUAUUAAUAGUUAUGGUCUUUAAACUUAAAAAAUUUGGCGGUAUUUUAGUCUGUUCAGAGGAACCUGUUUUAUAAUCGAUAAUCCACGUUGGACCUUACUUUAAUUUAUUUAUUAGUUUAUAUACCGUCGUUAUAAAAAAUUUUAUAAGAACAAUAAUUUUUAAUUUAUUUAAUUAGAUAAUAUAUCAGAUCAAGGUGUAGCUUAUAUUAAAGAAAAUAAUGGGUUACAAUAAAAAUAUUUAUAUGAAUAUAAGUAUGAAAAAUUUAUUGAAAGAGGAUUUGAAAGUAAAAUUAAAAAGAUUAUUAAUUUGAUUUUAGCUCUAAAAUAUGUACAUAUCGCCCGUCACUCUUAUUAUUAAAAUAAGAUAAGUCGUAAC